rnacentral:rRNA from 1 species
AUGAAAAAUACUUUUACUGAGAGUUCACUUAAAUCCUGCAUGGCUACUAGCCAUAGGAACUCUUUUGAUUUUUCUAUAGAUCUUCCUUUGGCUCCCCUGACUCCUGCCCUUACUCUCUUCCUAUGGCUUUGUCUAUACUUAAGAAAAAUGGAUUUAUAUGUUUUGCAUAGUCGAUACUUAAGAAAACAAAAGGUCAAAUCUUCAAACUUUAAUCAGUUCAAGUACAUAAGGAACGUAGGACGACCAUGCAAAAACAUCAAUGUAGGAAAAAAGAGUAGGAUAUUGAGAUGUUGCUGCUACUUCUUUAUGCUCAUGCCUUGCCGCUGCUCCAUUCAAUCUCAUUCUAUUUAUAUGAAAAUAAUUGAUGCUCUAUAG